UAACUUUACAAGGCUGCAAAACCUAAUUUGGGUGCAAGAGGUUGGGUAAUUUUCUAGGUCCUGGUACCACUCGCGCAAGUCUGCUCAGUAACAGACUUGUGAUUGUUAAAUCGUGAAGAUUUUGUAACAUCUGCAAGCUUCUAGCCUGCAGAUAAUAUGAUAUCUCCAACGUGAUACCUCGGAGCAUAGUUCCACUGAUUGCUUUCGCAGUUCUGCUAAUUCCAGGUUGUCUUGACAAUUUCGCUGACAAUAUCUAAGAUUUGAUCUGAGAAUAACACAAAAAAAAAUACAGAUACAAAUAUGGGAACAUCAGAGUUUAACUUUAAAAGCCGAAAGAACAAAAAAGGAUAGGAUCACAACCAAUGGAAUUCACACCAACUGAAUAGCAGCCCCUUGGGACUCUGCACUUCAGGAUCCUGAUGUGCGAUAAAUAAUCUGCUAAUGGUUUCAGCAUCGUUGACAGGGCACCACAAUAUCUAAUACCUUUCUGGAAAAUCUGACAAUCUCACAGUGCAAUUUAGGACAAGACAUUGUAAAGAGAUGUCAAUCUCUCCAUCUUAGAUAUCAAAGCAAAGUCGUAUCAUCUUUCACUCUCAUAGUGUGUUUGUCAGUGUCAAAUCUUGGAGAAAAUGUAUUUGUGAUUUACUUCAGCCAAACAUUUAAUGGAAUGGGCAAAUGUCCAUUCGGCCAAAUAUCUUCACUCUUGUUUUACAUGUUAUUGGCAUAAAAUAUUAAAUAACAUUCAGAAGCUUUGUUUACAGUUUCUGGCAAAUUAAAUAAAAAUUAAAACAAUCUUAUUUACAAUGGAUGCUGCUGAUGGUGUUCCGACAAGUUUUUUGACAUUUGUAUCAACUUUCCAAAUAAAACUUUAUUGAAUUGCUUCUAUUUGGAGUUUACCAAUGCUAUUGUGUUAGGAUAUUUAUACCUCAUUCAUUUUGUUAAAUGACGAGCUCAAAUAUGUUAUUCUGUAUAGAAGAAUACAUAGAUAUCUCAAAGGUAAAAAUACUAUACAAGAAUACAUUUCAAUUGAGGUGAUAUUCUUAGUAAAUUCAAAAUAUGUUAAAUAUCGGUCUUAGUGCUAUUUGAAUUGAUUGUGUAGCAAUAGUGAUAUCAUCGGCUAUGUCUCUUUGGAAAAUCCUCCCGUCAUUAAAAAACGCACCAAUAAAUCCAUCAUCAAUAAAUGCAUCUUCCUCAAUAAUAUUGUCAAUUAUCCAUUUUCAACCAAUCUAUACUAUUACAUCAGGAUCUACCCUCACAAAGCCUCCAUGGAGGUUUGACAUAACUACAUUAGGUUCUUCAGCUAUUUAAACUCCAAUCAAAUAUUUUCAAGAAUAAUACAGUUAUAUCUGCUUCAGAUGGCGGCAUGGCAGCGCAGCUGUAGAUUUGCUGCCUUACAGCGCUAGAGACCCAGGCUCUAUCCUGACUACAGGCGCUCUCUGUACGGAGUUUGUGCGGGGAGCCGUGACUGCGUGAGUUUUCUCCGGGUGCUCCGGUUUCCUUCCACACUCCAGGUUUGUUGGUUAAUUGGCUUUGGUAAAAAUUGUCCCUGGUGUGUAGGAUAGUGUUAGUGUUUCGGGAUCGCUUGUCGGCGCUGAUUUGGUGGGCCAAAGGGCCUGUUUCCACGCUACAUCUCUAAACUAAACUAAAUAUACUUUGCAUAGUUACAUUUAAUUUAUCCACAGUAGUUGGCUGUUUCGUGUAAUUUAUCUUUAAAUCAUUUCUUAAUGAUUCCACAAAACUAAAGAUGAAAGCCACAUUCAUGUGAAUGUCAAACAUGGCUUUACUCAUGUGAAGGAAAGAACUGCAGAUGUUGGUUUAAAUCGAAGGUAGACACAAAAUGCUAGAGCAACUCAGCGGGAAAGGCAGCAUUUCUGGAGAGAAGGAAUGUGUGAUGUUUCGGGUCGAGACCCUUCUUCAGACGGGUAUCAACCAGAAACAUCACCUGUUCCUUCCCUCCAGAGAUGCUACCUGUCCCGCUGAGUUCUCCAGCAUUUUGUGUCUACCAUGGUAUUACUCAUAAUAGUUAAAGCACAAACCCUUGCUUCCUCAAUAUAACUGUGUAAAUUGUGUUUUUCUUGUAUCAAUCCACCUAGACUCACAGUAAAUUUUGAAAAGUGGCUCUCCAAAAAGAAGCCAGCAUCACAAACAUGAUAGUAAAAUGAGAUGCAGUAUUUGCAAAUAGUUCCUGUUCUUUAACAGUCCAGAAGUGACUUUAUCUAUCAUGAAGAUGGGAGAAAAGCUUGCAGGAGAAGAUGAGCUCCAUUUAGAAGAUGGGAUGAAGGGCUUAAGGUCACAGAAGAUUAGAUAAUGUAUUUCAUUUCCUCAGGAAAUCCAAGAAUGCUCUUUAGCCAAUGAAAUCCGUUGUUACGUAAGGUCAUAAGGUCAUAAGUGAUAGGAGCAGAAUUCGGCCAUUUGGCCCAUCAAGUCUAC